rnacentral:rRNA from 1 species
GUGGGGAAUCUUGCGCAAUGGGCGAAAGCCUGACGCAGCCAUGCCGCGUGAAUGAUGAAGGUCUUAGGAUUGUAAAAUUCUUUCACCGGGGACGAUAAUGACGGUACCCGGAGAAGAAGCCCCGGCUAACUUCGUGCCAGCAGCCGCGGUAAUACGAAGGGGGCUAGCGUUGCUCGGAAUUACUGGGCGUAAAGGGCGCGUAGGCGGACAGUUUAGUCAGGGGUGAAAUCCCGGGGCUCAACCUCGGAACUGCCUUUGAUACUGGGUGUCUUGAGUAUGAGAGAGGUGUGUGGAACUCCGAGUGUAGAGGUGAAAUUCGUAGAUAUUCGGAAGAACACCAGUGGCGAAGGCGACACACUGGCUCAUUACUGACGCUGAGGCGCGAAAGCGUGGGGAGCAAACAGGAUUAGAUACCCUGGUAGUCC